UGUCGGGUUUGUUUAAUAAACUUUACCUUCUUACCUUCACAGUUUCUGAAUUAGAUUGUGUGAAGUAUGUACAGAUGAACGCUGAUGUUAUCUUGUUUCUAACUUUAGCUAGUCAACAUGAGCAAGCGGACAAGAGAUAUUCAGCACUUUUCUGGCGCCAAAAGAAGACAAUACUAGCAGCAUGGAUGAUGACAACGUCCUGACUGUUCAUCCACCCACCACUUUGGAUCAGUGAAGGGGCACCAUCUAGGGUGGAUGCUGUGUUGCUGUUACAAAUGAUCCUGUGGGAGACUCACUGACAGCCAAGCUCUAUGCGGCUCCACAUGCCUCAUCACCACACACACACACACACA